GACGAACGCUGGCGGCGUGCUUAACACAUGCAAGUCGAACGGGGAUUAGGUUGGAAAGGCUUCGGCCCGGAAGACUUAAUUCGAGUGGCGGACGGGUGAGUAACGCGUGAGCAACCUGUCCCAGACAGGGGGAUAACACUUGGAAACAGGUGCUAAUACCGCAUAAGACCACGGGGUCACAUGGCCUAGGGGUAAAAGGAGCAAUCCGGUUUGGGGUGGGCUCGCGUCCGAUUAGAUAGUUGGUGAGGUAACGGCCCACCAAGGCGACGAUCGGUAGCCGACCUGAGAGGGUGAUCGGCCACAUUGGAACUGAGAGACGGUCCAAACUCCUACGGGAGGCAGCAGUGGGGAAUAUUGGGCAAUGGGCGAAAGCCUGACCCAGCAACGCCGCGUGAGUGAAGAAGGCCUUCGGGUUGUAAAGCUCUGUUAUAGGGGACGAAGGAAGUGACGGUACCCUAUAAGGAAGCCCCGGCUAACUACGUGCCAGCAGCCGCGGUAAAAC
rnacentral:rRNA from 1 species